ACCUGUGGUUUUCACGUCGAGAGUGCUUCUUAAGGAAGUAUGGGACCAAUGAAAGUUCUCAAGGA
rnacentral:tRNA from 1 species